rnacentral:lncRNA from 1 species
CAAUGAUUUAAUUACAUAUAUCUCAUAAAUUGAUGAUAUGGACCUGCAUAUUAGUUGAGACUUUAACAACUCCAUCGGCACCGAGGUUAUUAGCAACAGAUAGUCGAUAGUCAUCGACAUCUACAACGACAACUCUAGGUGCCCCGAAAGCAUGAGCUGCCAGAAGUGUAACAAGACCUAUUGGCCCUGCUCCCAUGACCAACACAUUGGUUUCUGGACCGAUAUUAGCUCAGCGACAAGCGUGGACCGCUACACUCAGGGGCUCACACAUAGCUCCUUCUUCCAAGCUUAGAUUGUCUGGCAGCUUGAAACACAGGUGUGCAGGAUGCGCUACCUACAUUGAAAAUAAUAAUCUUGUACACUAUUAGUCAUAUGGAUAAACAGAGUAGAACCAAGGCUGAAAUUGCAGCUUUAUAGGUUCACCUGACGGGCAAGGGAACCAUGAACCGGUGGAAGGGCGAAAAACUUCAUAUCAGGGCAUAUAUUGUAUCGACCUUCCUUGCAAAGAUCACAUCGCCAGCAACUGAUCCCUGGUUCCAAUGCCACUCGGUCACCAGGCACCAAAUUCUUGACUUCACUUCCAAUCUCCUCUAUGAUCCCAGCACACUCAUGCUCUAUCACCAUUGGUUCUUUCACCACAAAAUCUGCAAGCCUCAGUGUCUCCACACACGCACGGGGUUAAACAAGGUCAUAUAUAUUUAUAUACAAUACGGUUACAAGGAUACAUGUAGAAAAUACCUUGAGAAAGUGAACAUCACUUCCACAGAUGCCAACAGCUUUCAUUCUAACUCUUACAUCAUGGGGUCCUUAAUUUUAUUCACCCACAACAAAAACAGAAGUGAUCAAUCAAUAUAUAAGAAACAAAAAAAACUAAUGUUUAUCUGAAACCAUAAUGAUAAUUCAUAAACUCCAUAACUGGAACAAGCUAGAAAAACUCGAAAAGAAAAACGAAGGGUUAUACCAAGAGGAGGGAGCUUGAAAGGUUGAAUUUUGAGGGUGUUAAGACCCACAAGCCAAGCAGCCAUGUUUUCUUCACCUUCUUGAUGAGAUUUCCUCCUUUACCCAUUCUUUUGCUUUUCCUUGUGAUGGACACUCACAAACUGAUGUCUGUUUAGCAAAUAAUAGAUUUUUAUGCUUGGAUUAUAUGGAGCAACCAAGGAUAAUAUCUAAUCUUGCAAUAUGGACCAGGAAUUAUUAAUCACUUGAUUUUUUUCUACAGGUAAUUUGUCUCCACCUGAUCCCUUCUUUUGUAGCUUUUGAAAAUGGAUAAACAUAAAAUUAGUGAUAAGCUGAGUAUGACGUGUGGCAAAAUUGGUGACAUCCGCUUCACAUGCACACCAUUUUUUUUUAUAGGAGAUAUCUAAAGUAAAAUACCAUUUAGGAAUUAAAUUAUAUUUUAUCCUUUUAAAAAUUAUUAAUUUAAUCUCUUUAAUUAAAAUCAUAAUAUUUUCAAAAAUAUAAUUUAUUUAUUUUUUAAAUAAAAAAAUUAAUCCAACACCUAAUAUAUCAUGAUAUGGACCAUUCUACAAGGGUACAGUUGUUUUAGUUAAAAUAUUUGAAUAUUCCUGAUCAAUAUUGUAGUUUUAAUAGUAUGACUUGCUAAUGGAUUAUCUUUUUUUCCGACAUGAUUAUCAUUAUUCUUCUUUCAGGUCUGGAGUUUGGAAACUUUGCAACGCCUACAGACUCUAACAGAGCAUACUAAUGUUGUUAUGUCCUUGCUUUGCUGGGAUCAGUUUCUUUUAUCUUGUUCAUUGGACCAAACAAUAAAAGUUGGUGCUUCUUUUUUAUUUUGUUAUUUUUUCCCUUCCAUUAAAGCUAGAUUGUUUGGAUUUACUUGUUUAUUCUUUGCAGGUAUGGGUGGCUACUGAGAAUGGAAACCUGGGAGUAAGAUACACUCACAACGAAGAAUAUGUAUGUUGUAUUAAUAUAUCAUGCAUGCCGUAUUUUGAUUUAAUGCCAACUAGUUCUAAGAACAAAAGGGUUUCGAGAGAGAGAUCUUCAUGCUCUGCAUUUGAGUUUUCGAAGAUACCCUCAUGGGGCAAGGUUUUUGGCAGAACGGCAUGUAAAAGAGGAUACCGGUUCCUUGAGCAUUUUGAUUCUAUUUCCUAGAGUCUUGUUAAAUGUUCAACACUUGAACCGUUUUUGGCUGCUGUUUCCAGGGCAUGCUUAAUCUUCGUGGGAUGCACGACUUAGAAUCCAAGCCGGUCUUCUUGUGUGCAUGCAACGACAAUUAUGUCCGGCUUUAUGAGCUGCCGUCGUACGUUCUUAAUGCACAUAUUGUUUUGCAUCUCUUUUGUCAAUUCAUACUGCUUAUGAAAAUACCCUUUUUUCCUUUAUGAUUGAAGGUUCUCCGAGGGGUAAAAUUUUUGCUAAGCAGGAGAUUCGAGCCAUCGAAGUAGGGCCUAGUGGCCUCUUUUUCACCGGCGACGGAUCUGGUUUUAAAGUGUGGAAAUGGGCAGAGCCAGUUGCUUCAACUUGAUUGCCUUGCACCAUUUCAUAAGACAUUCAUUCUCCUGUAAUUUUUUGGUGGUAAUUAUUUUAUAUUUUUUCAUCCUUUCAGGUAAGUCUUUCACAGUGAAAACAAUUUUGGGUUCCACCUUUUAUAGCAUAAUAGAUCAUUUAAGAGUAAUUGUAUGAACUAGUUACCCUAAUUUCACCAAAUGCUUCAAUAAGAAUACGCAUCAAAGUUCAAAACCAUCAACUUUAUUACAUAUACAGUCAGAGUUUAUAACAAGAGUCCAGCAUAUAGAUAGUUUCCACUAUGUUUUUAUCUUGUUGAAAGUCACAGGUUGAACAUGACCUUAAUGGCAUUGCCACCGCGAGCACUAGUUUCAAAAGCUUCUUCAACCUCUUUCUGGGAAAACCCGAACCUGUGAGUUAUCAAUGGCUUCACAUCAAUCUUACCACUUCUUAGAAGCUCAAUGCACAAAGGCCAAGUGUUCUUAUACCGGAAUAUCCCAAUAAUAUCAACCUCCCUGCAAUCAAUCCUGGUUAAUUUUCAGGCAACAGUCAAGUAAAUGAAUCAUUGAAAUAAGUACCUAGCAGCAGCUGGUGUAAGUGGGACGGUCAUCUCGUUAUGGCCUAAUCCAACAAGGCAAACCCUGCCACCGGCUCGAGUGGCACUCAAAGCAGUCGACAUUGUUUUGUUAAAGCCUGCACAGUCAAAGGUUACAUGCACUCCUACUGCUCCCAUCACUUCACAUAUUCUUUCAACUUCUUCGGGUAUGUCCUGAAACCAUUUUAAAAGUCAGACAAUGAUUUAAUUAUAUAUAUCUCAUAAAACUUGAUGAUAUGGACCUGCAUAUUUGUUGAGACUUUAACAACUCCAUCGGCACCGAGGUUAUUAGCAACAGAUAGUCGAUAGUCGUCCACGUCUACAACGACAAUUCUAGGUGCCCCGAAAGCACGAGCUGCCAGAAGUGUAACGAGACCUAUUGGUCCUGCUCCCAUGACCAACACAUUGGUUUCUGGACCGAUAUUAGCUCGGCGACAAGCGUGAACCGCUACACUUAAGGGCUCACACAUAGCUCCUUCUUCCAAGCUUAGAUUGUCUGGCAGCUUGAAACACAG